CCUUAAAUGAGCACCAAUCCACCUCCAUAUCAUCAAUCAUGCCGGGUCUUUGCAGAAAGUGUACAUAAGGGGACCAAAAGAGCAGUCAAGACAGCCCGGAACCCACUGAUCAAGAACCGAGUGACAGGGGGCAGAUUCCUGGCAACCGGCAAUUCAUUUGCUUCACUGCAUUUUGAGUUCCUGCUGGGCGUCUCAACCAUUUCCAGGAUUGUUCGUCAAACGUGUCAAGUUAUUUGGCAGCAACUCUAGGACACGUUGAUGCCAGAGCCCAAGGUCAUAUUGUCAGGAUGAGAAGUGUACGUAGCAAACCAUGGAUGUCCUUGAAUUCCCAGAAAUGGCUCAAUAUAUUAUAAUGUUUAA